rnacentral:rRNA from 1 species
CUGGCGGCAUGCUUANNCAUGCNAGUCGAACGGUAACAGGAGAGAGCUUGCUCUCUUGCUGACGAGUGGCGGACGGGUGAGUAAUACAUGGGAAUCUGCCCUGAGGUGGGGGAUAACCCGGGGAAACUCGGGCUAAUACCGCAUGAUCUCUUCGGAGCAAAGUGGGGGACCUUCGGGCCUCACGCCUUGGGAUGAGCCCAUGUCUGAUUAGCUAGUUGGUGGGGUAAAGGCCUACCAAGGCAACGAUCAGUAGCCGGCCUGAGAGGGUGUACGGCCACACUGGGACUGAGACACGGCCCAGACUCCUACGGGAGGCAGCAGUGGGGAAUAUUGGACAAUGGGGGCAACCCUGAUCCAGCAAUGCCGCGUGAACGAUGAAGGCCUUAGGGUUGUAAAGUUCUUUCACCGGAGAAGAUAAUGACGGUAUCCGGAGAAGAAACCCCGGCUAACUCCGUGCCAGCANCCGCGGUAAUACGGAGGGGGUUAGCGUUGUUCGGAAUUACUGGGCGUAAANNNACNNUAGGCGGACCAUUAANUCAGGGGUGAAAUCCCGGGGGCUCACCCCCGAAAGCCCUUUGAUACNGGGGGUCUG